GGAGGUGUUCAAAAUUAAAUUUUGAGUGACUGGGAGAAUUUUUUACCUUUUCUGGCGGUCGGAGGUAGCUCCAGUGUGGCUGCGGGCGGCGGUCAGCUCCUUUCUCGGCGACUGGUUCUUCUUCUCUAGCAGAGGGGCUGGCAGAUAGGCUUAGGGUUUGGUGUGAAGUGAAGUAUUUAUGUCCAUCUCUUUUUUAAUUUGGCUCGUCCACCGCAUUUGAUCUGUACCGUCCGAUCACGUUAAAAUAAGAAAUAAAUCUGAAUCGUUCAUCGUGAUUUAAUUUCAACUAUACGAUCGCAUUUUAAGAAGAAAGAAAUCUGGACCGUUCAUCGCGUUUAAUCGCGACCAUCCGAUCAUGCUGAAGAGGGAACAGAUCUGGACCUUUCACACACACGGGAACAAAUUUGGACCGUCCAAUCGUGAGCACGCGGAUUGCAAGCGUAGCCUCUAUGUGGUACUGCAUCAGUGUACCUUGCCACGCGACACACUCCGGUUCGUCGAGACUGCUGACUGGACAGUCAUACGUGACACAUUUUUCCUAAAUUAUGUUUUGACUCCCAGUUUCAAAUUUUUCUGUCAAAAACAC
rnacentral:lncRNA from 1 species